GACGAACGCUGGCGGCGUGCCUAACACAUGCAAGUCGAACGGAAAGGCCUGCUUUUUCCUGUGGUUUGAGGGUGCGCGAGCGGCUAACGGGCGAGUAACACGUGUGUGUUUUGGCCCCAACUUGCGUAUAAGCCCGGGAACUUGGGCCUAAUAACCGAUAGGACUGCAGGGUGGUGUCUGUGGUGGAAAACGUUCUUCUAGUGGUUGGGGAUGAGCUCGCGGCUUAUCAGCUUGUUGGGGGGGUCCUCGCCGACCAAGGCGGCGACGGGUAGCCGGCGUGGGAGGGUGCACGGGCGCAUUGGGACUGAGAUACGGCCCAGACGGCUGCGGGAGGCAGGAGUGGGGAAUAAUGGACAAAAGGCGGAAGGCUGAAGCAGCGACGCCGCGUGGAGGAUGUCGGCCUUCGGGUUGUAAGCUCCUUGGGACCACGAGGAAGCCACCUGAUUGGAAGGGUGGUGACGGUAGUGGAAGAGGAAGCAACGGCUAACUACGUG
rnacentral:rRNA from 1 species